UACGUAGGGGGCUAGCGUUGUCCGGAAUCAUUGGGCGUAAAGAGCGUGUAGGCGGCCCGGUAAGUCCGCUGUGAAAGUCGGGGGCUCAACCCUCGAAUGCCGGUGGAUACUGUCGGGCUAGAGUGCGGAAGAGGCGAGUGGAAUUCCUGGUGUAGCGGUGAAAUGCGCAGAUAUCAGGAGGAACACCAAUUGCGAAGGCAGCUCGCUGGGACGUUACUGACGCUGGAGACGCGAAAGCGUGGGAGCAA
rnacentral:rRNA from 1 species